rnacentral:rRNA from 1 species
GAUGAACGCUGGCGGCGUGCCUAAUACAUGCAAGUCGAGCGAACAGACGAGAAGCUUGCUCCUCUGACGUUAGCGGCGGACGGGUGAGUAACACGUGGAUAACCUACCUAUAAGACUGGGAUAACUUCGGGAAACCGGAGCUAAUACCGGAUAAUAUAUUGAACCGCAUGGUUCAAUAGUGAAAGACGGUUUUGCUGUCACUUAUAGAUGGAUCCGCGCCGCAUUAGCUAGUUGGUAAGGUAACGGCUUACCAAGGCAACGAUGCGUAGCCGACCUGAGAGGGUGAUCGGCCACACUGGAACUGAGACACGGUCCAGACUCCUACGGGAGGCAGCAGUAGGGAAUCUUCCGCAAUGGGCGAAAGCUUGACGGAGCAACGCCGCGUGAGUGAUGAAGGUCUGCGGAUCGUAAAACUCUGUUAUUAGGGAAGAACAAAUGUGUAAGUAACUAUGCACGUCUUGACGGUACCUAAGCAGAAAGCCACGGCUAACUACGU